rnacentral:snoRNA from 1 species
CCCAUGGCUACAUGAUGACUUGAAUGUUGGUAGGGACAUCUGAGUAAAUGUGAAGAAUUGCCAACAUUUCUGAUUGUAUGGG